UUUUAUUUGCAGUGUGAGUUCACUGUGCACGUGUGUGUUGGUGUUUUGUGUGCACAGGCGGUGCCCAAGCCCAUAGCCAUGGAGCCGUGCUGGGGGAGCAGAGCAGGUGUUCUGACGGUGCUGCUGUAUCUGCCCAGAGUCCCGUCUGGAACACCUCCGCCUGGACAGUGUGGCAUCGCUAUAGCCAGUGCUCUGGUGGACGCAUCGCAACAGCGAGCGAUGGACUUUAAGGACCGAGGCCUCGGACUCAAGCAUCGCAAACACACCGUGCACCAUCAAGGGACCUGUGUAUGAACUGGAUGAUGACACGGAGGGAAAACACAGCGCCUGUAAAAAAAAA